rfam:Photobacterium profundum SS9 chromosome 2
UUUUCCGCGUGGAAUGGCCAGAAGGAAGCCGCUAGCAAAACUGUGAGCUGAUGAACAAGAACAUCAUAUUAUCCGAUUAGCUUUUUAGCAUUCAAAUCACCUUAAAACGAAAAAGUAAAAUAAUCGAAAAUGAAGCAACAAAAAAAGCACCUGCA